AGUGAACGCUGGCGGUAGGCCUAACACAUGCAAGUCGAACGGCAGCACAGUAAGAGCUUGCUCUUACGGGUGGCGAGUGGCGGACGGGUGAGGAAUACAUCGGAAUCUACUUUUUCGUGGGGGAUAACGUAGGGAAACUUACGCUAAUACCGCAUACGACCUACGGGUGAAAGCAGUGGAUCUUCGGACCUUUCGCGAUUGAAUGAGCCGAUGUCGGAUUAGCUAGUUGGCGGGGUAAAGUCCCACCAAGGCGACGAUCCGUAGCGGGUCUGAGAGGAUGAUCGGCCACACUGGAACUGAGACACGGUCCAGACUCCUACGGGAGGCAGCAGUAGGGAAUAUUGGACAAUGGGCGCAAGCCUGAUCCAGCCAUACCGCGUGGGUGAAGAGGGCCUUCGGGUUGUAAAGCCCUUUUGUUGGGAAAGAAAAGCAGCAGGUUAAUACCCCGCUGUUCUGACGGUACCCAAAGAAUAAGCACCGGCUAACUUCGUG
rnacentral:rRNA from 1 species